rnacentral:rRNA from 1 species
CCUACGGGAGGCAGCAGUGGGGAAUAUUGCACAAUGGGGGAAACCCUGAUGCAGCGACGCCGCGUGAGUGAAGAAGUAUUUCGGUAUGUAAAGCACUAUCAGCAGGGAAGAAAAUGACGGUACCUGAUUAAGAAGCCCCGGCUAACUACGUGCCAGCAGCCGCGGUAAUACGUAGGGGGCAAGCGUUAUCCGGAUUUACUGGGUGGAAAGGGAGCGGAGACGGCAGCACAAGUCUGGAGUGAAAUGCCGGGGCUUAACCUCGGAACUGCUUUUGAAACUGUGCAGCUAGAGUGCAGGAGAGGUAAGUGGAAUUCCUGGUGUAGCGGUGAAAUGCGUAGAGAUUAGGAGGAACACCAGUGGCGAAGGCGGCUUACUGGACUGUAACUGACGUUGAGGCGCGAAAGCGUGGGGAGCAAACAGGAUUAGAUACCCGAGUAGUC